rnacentral:lncRNA from 1 species
AUUUCAUACAAUUAUUGGUUCUUUUUUUUUUUUAAUUUCCAGCUGAAAUUUAUGAAAAAGUUGGUGGCAGGUGAGGUGAUGAUCAAAGUGAUUUAAUAUAUUCAUGGUAUGUUUAAUUAAUAAGCUAAUGAUAUUCGUGAUAUAUCAUCAAUGACUUACUAAUGUACAUAUGUAGAUGUGAUUAUAUAUGUUUACUUUUUAAUUUUUGGAUCAUUUUCAAGAUU